AACGUAGGUCCCGAGCGUUAUCCGGAUUUACUGGGCGUAAAGCGUGUUCAGGCGGUCUAGCAAGUCGGGCAUGAAAUCUCUCGGCUCAACCGGGAGGGGUUGUCCGAUACUGCUGGGCUUGAGGGCAGCAGAGGGUGGUGGAAUUCCGGGUGUAGUGGUGAAAUGCGUAGAUAUCCGGAGGAACACCAGUGGCGAAGGCGGCCACCUGGACUG
rnacentral:rRNA from 1 species